AACGUUUUCCUCGUCGUCUCCUUCACCUCCAUCUCCGAUGGUCCCUUUUCCCUCACAACCAGCUUCGUCUCUGUCACCAGCGUGACUCCUUCGUCUCUUCCUACUCGACAAACCCGAAAUCGAUUUCACCUCAAUCACAUCCGGCUUCAACUACAAGUUACUCUAACCUAUACGUACGUGAUAUUGGCAAGAUAAUAGUAACAGUUCCAUGACAAAUUUUCUGGGAAGAAAAACAACUGUUUCUUGGUGAAACAGUUCGGCAGAGGCAAUGCUAAUGUUUAAUUUAGCAAAGAGAGCAACAACCUCUGCAAACUCAACUCUUACAGGCACUCUGGUUUGGCGUACCAGAAGACGGUGACCAUUCAGGUAGCUGACAAGGAGAAAGGUGUGGUACUUGGAACCACCAAGAAAAAGAAACAAAACAAGUUUAUAGGUUAUAAAGAUUUUUCAUGGACAGUUUAGUUUCUUGCUUGCAACACCUCCAUUGUUAUGUUCUUUUUCUCAAAAAUGAUAAUAAGAAAAAACUAGUAAGCUG